rnacentral:rRNA from 1 species
GAUGAACGCUGGCGGCGUGCCUAAUACAUGCAAGUCGAGCGAAUGGAUUAAGAGCUUGCUCUUAUGAAGUUAGCGGCGGACGGGUGAGUAACACGUGGGUAACCUGCCCAUAAGACUGGGAUAACUCCGGGAAACCGGGGCUAAUACCGGAUAACAUUUUGAACCGCAUGGUUCGAAAUUGAAAGGCGGCUUCGGCUGUCACUUAUGGAUGGACCCGCGUCGCAUUAGCUAGUUGGUGAGGUAACGGCUCACCAUGGCAACGAUGCGUAGCCGACCUGAGAGGGUGGUCGGCCACACUGGGACUGGGACACGGCCCAGACUCCUACGGGAGGCAGCAGUAGGGAAUCUUCCGCAAUGGACGAAAGUCUGACGGAGCAACGCCGCGUGAGUGAUGAAGGCUUUCGGGUCGUAAAACUCUGUUGUUAGGGAAGAACAAGUGCUAGUUGAAUAAGCUGGCACCUUGACGGUACCUAACCAGAAAGCCACGGCUAACUACGUGCCAGCCGCCGCCGUAA